rnacentral:lncRNA from 1 species
AGAAAUCGAACCUCCCCAGAGUGCCCCAAAACCAGAAUCAGCACUUGAACCAGAACCUGAGCCAGAAAGUGAACUUGAACCAGAACCUGAGCCAGAAAGGGAACCUGAACCUGAACCUGAACUGGAAGGGGAACCUGAACCAGAACCAGAACCAGAACCAGAACCAGUAAAUGAUGCUGAACCAAAUGACGUUGAAGAAGGGGAGAUCGAUUGAUCUGUUUGUCUCAUCAUGUUAUUGUACUGACCAAGAAAAAAAUGGUGGUUCUGAGACGCGCUGGGGCAGAGACUUGGGAUGCUUCUAUUUGGAUUUGAUGGCCGCAUUAUCUCUUUCCUGAAAGGGAGAAGAUGGACUUAGCUGGAGAAGAAUUGUCAGCAACACAAAUUGAGUGAUGGAUUGGGCUUUUCGGCAUGUUCUUUGAAAGGAUUUUUUUUUUCUUGAUAGUUUCUUUUGGGAAAUGUAGCGGGCGAAUCUCGAAUAUAACGCGAUUCGAUCCAAUUUUGGUGUGUAAAAAGAAAAGUUUAAUUUUAGGUACAAGGGUCGGCUUAGAAUUGUAAAAUAUCAGCCUCCUCGGACUAUUUUGGCAUUCUACCCAUUUUUAUUUUUUCCUUGGGAAAAUGAUGUCUUCUCUUGUUGGAGUUUUUAGGAAGGAAUAAUGACAGAUUUGGAUUUUAGAAACAUGUUGGAAUAUCUUGGUUUCGCUUUUCCCAUGUUUUUUUCCUUCAUAUAUUUGACUUUCUAUACCCUGUUUUUGUGUUGGUUAUCAUUUUCGAAACAUGCAAGUCACCACCACCUUUAUGAUCAUCUCCGCCAUCAC